rnacentral:rRNA from 1 species
AGCAGCCGCGGUAAUUCCAGCUCCAAUAGCGUAUAUUAAAGUUGUUGCAGUUAAAAAGCUCGUAGUUGAAUUUCGGGGUCAGCAGGUUGGUCGUGCCAAUGGUAUGUACUGGCCUUGCUGACUCCUCCCUCUUGUAGAACCGUAAUGCCAUUAAGUUGGUGUUGCGGGGAAACAGGACUGUUACUUUGAAAAAAUUAGAGUGUUUAAAGCAGGUUA